rnacentral:rRNA from 1 species
UACGGAGGGUGCGAGCGUUGUUCGGAAUUACUGGGCGUAAAGCGCGUGUAGGCGGUCUUCUAAGUCUGGUGUGAAAGCCCGGGGCUCACCCCCGGAAGUGCAUUGGAUACUGGAAGACUGGAGUACCGGAGAGGAGGGCGGAAUUCCUGGUGUAGCGGUGAAAUGCGUAGAUAUCAGGAGGAACACCUGUGGCGAAGGCGGCCCUCUGGACGGAUACUGACGCUGAGACGCGAAAGCGUGGGGAGCAAACAGG